UUUUUAUUUUGUUUUAUUUUAUUUUAUAUUAUUUAUUAAACAUUUGACAAUGAUACAUUCAUUAUUGGAUUGUAUGUACUCUGGAGACACUAAAUACCAAAUUUCAGCGAUUUACUUCAAUCAACAAAAAAGUUACAGAUUUUUGAGACGGUACGCACGGUUCUGUGCCACUGUGCGCCGGUGAGUUCCGAGCCCCUCUUGGGGCGAAGAAUAAUAACGAGCAGUGGCUUGCAUUAAAGCAAGCCCUUGACGAACUUGGUACAUGAGCCACAUUAUUUUUAGUUUAAGUUACAUUAAUGAAUUGAAUGAUUAAAAUUAUAUGAAUUUUGGGUUACAACUCGCACAAAAAUAUAUUUCAAAUCCUAUUAGAUAUAAUAAAAUGUUUUAAUAUAAAAUUUUCCUUUAAGUGUUGGCGCGAUCAAAAAAAAAGCCAGAGAGGAGGGGGAGCCUUAAGCUAGGCAAAAAACACAACUGGAAAUUUUGUUGUGCUCCCAACAUUAUCAGAAAAUUCUUCAUUGGUGCUCAAUGCAAUUGGGAAGGAGAUGGCAGUAGGUUGUGGCCCAGAGGAGUCACCAGUAGGUUUCAGUCAAGAGCCUACAGAAACUACAACUUCAGGCCAGCAAGUACAAGUUCCAAAAAUUAAAGCACCACGAAGAGUUCGCCAAACCUUGCCGCAUGAUAGAUUUUUAAAUGCGCAGUUAGGGUUAAAUAAUAUAAUCAAAGUGUGGUGCUAAUAAAGAAAAUGAGGCGAAAAAAUAAAAGACUCAAUUUGACCCUAUUGCUGUGAUUAUUGUAAUAUUGAAGACCGAUUUGAAUGUGAUGUUUGUAAUAUUGAAGAUUGAGUUAAGAAGAUUAUAUUUAGUAUGUUAAAUACUUUUAAGUUCCUAUCUUUAUACCAAAAUUCUUAUAUUUUUUAUAAAUAUUAUAUAACAACUAGUUAUAAUAAAAGAGAUCCUUAUUUAGUAAGUUAGAUAUUAUAAUAGAAGCUGUGAUAAAAGUAACUUUUGGUUUCUGUUUAUCUUUGAAAUGUGUGUGUGAUGAAGGUAAUUGGUUUUGGUUCUUUGAAAUAAAUGUGAUGAC
rnacentral:misc_RNA from 1 species